rnacentral:tRNA from 1 species
GGGCCGGUAGCUCAGCUGGCAGAGCAGGGGACUUUUAAUCCCAAGGCCGGAGGUUCGAAUCCUCCCCGGCCCA